UACGUAGGUGGCAAGCGUUGUCCGGAUUUAUUGGGUUUAAAGGGUGCGUAGGCGGUUUUUUAAGUCAGUGGUGAAAUACUUCAGCUUAACUGGAGAGGUGCCAUUGAUACUGGGAAACUUGAGUACUGAUGAGGUAGGCGGAAUGGACGGUGUAGCGGUGAAAUGCGUAGAGAUCCGGAAGAACACCGGUGGCGAAGGCGGUCUGCUGGGGUAAUGCUGACACUGAGGCGCGACAGCGUGGGGAGCAAACAGG
rnacentral:rRNA from 1 species